GCCCAAAAAAAAAACUAACAUAAGUGCAACUUCGAAAUACACAUAUAGCAAACAAGAAACAUAUGCAUGAUUGAUUUAUCAUAAAUCAUGAAACCAAACCCCUCCAAAUCAAGUGUAAUUGAGAUAAAAAAACAAAUAGCCAUGUUAGAUCAUUUAUGUUAAUGAAAAACAGCAUGCAUGUAUUGCAAAACUUAAGUGGGUAUCCCAAGCAAAUUACUGCUGAUGCUGCAAUUUCAACCUCAGCGGCAAUCAUGCGGUUAACUAUAAGCGAAAAUUAAAAUCAAGAAGAGAGAGGAACAAUAUAAAAUGCAUUGCAAAUUAAAUAUAUUCAUUUUAUUUUUCCUUACAAUACCCAGAAU
rnacentral:misc_RNA from 1 species